UCCCUCCGCUGCCUCUUGCGGAGCGGCUCCCCGGCAGGCGGCGACCUGGCUUCCCUCUCAGCCGCCUCUGCCGAGGGGAAGCCGGCCUUACCGAGGGGAAGCCGGGUUUAAGGGCGAGCACCGCCUCGGCCGCCAUCUUCCAACUGCCUCUCUGACCCUACCCCCUCACCUCCUCUGCUCCCGCUCGACGCGCAGCACUGGCGCCUCAAAUAUCUUUAUCAGUACAUAGCCAAACAACUAACAAAGUGGACCAUGUUAUUGCCAUCACAAAGUUCCUUGCAAUGCAAACUACAAAACUGCCUGGAUAUGACUAUGAAUGGUGAUCAAUCCAAGAUCUUUGAGGCUGCAGCCAACUCUAAUGCAAGCAGGAAGAAAGAAGAAGGUGUUGGGGAGAAGUUGUUUAUUUGCAAACUGCAUGAGGGUGACUUUGGGCAGCAUGGAGACAAGCCCCUUACUCAGCAGAUCCCUUUAGGGGGCUCAUUGCAAAGACCUAUUCUUAGUUCUUAAAGAGCCAGAAAGUCAUCUGAGAGUUCUGGGUAGUAGGGGGAGGAAAGAGAAACCAAGACAGGUCUAUAAGAGAAGGGUUACAAUUAGGUCUUGCAGUUAGCAUAAUUUCACAUAGAAAUUGUUUUAUUUAAAGAUAUGUAAAACUCACAGUGGGUUCACAUCUUUUCAACUAUAGUAUUUUUUUUGGAUGAGCCUCACCACGAAGAUCAGUUCCCUUCUUUACAAUUCAAAAACUUCCCACUGUAAAAGUAACCUGCCACUGACUGACACUGUGUCUGGAGUCCUGUACUUGGAUGGUCCCAUUUCAUCUGAGUUAUGAGGAGACUCUAAAGCUUAGAGGAUUUACAUACUGCUUCAGUGCUGAUCUGGUAUUUGAUCACAGUCUAUCUGAUCCGGGAACUGGAACACUUAACCACAUACUAUGCUCUUCCUUAGACACUUGAUACUCUGACCACAGACCAUUUUUCUCAGGGCUGUAUGUAAACAGCAGCCUGAAUUCUGAGAGCAUGUUGAAGCAGGAGCAUCUGAUAUAGAGCCCCAGUUGUCCUCUGUUAGAUUCUGAGGUUCUACUUAAGCCUCCAAAUUUGAGAAGAGCUUGAAGUUGGCUCCAUGGAGAAUGUGGAGGUGAUUAAUGAGUUUUACAAAAAAGGAAUGAGGAAGGGCUGUAGAACUGUUUGCUAUGAAGAUAAAGAGGAAGCUGGGAGGGUAACUGGGCAAUAGCUGCAGCUAGUUUUGGGGUAGAUACAAACCAUAGAUUCUAGGAAAAAGAAAGAAAGCUGUAAGCCUUGUAAUCUAUCAUCAGAUCCAAGGAAGAACCCUGAGCUCUACAACAUGAAUGCAUGAAGAUAAUAGGGAAAGAAGAUUGUCUCCCUUUUAGAGGGAGCAAGAAGCAAUUAAUCAAUAAGUCUUUAUGGACUACUUGCUCUGUGUACUCAGACCUGGGCACAGAGUCAUAGGACUUAGCCAGAAACAAACUCUGUUCUUAGAAACAAAUUGGUCUCAUUGAGUUGCAAGACUUCUAAUGAAAAUAGAUUCCACGAGACAGUGUGCCUGUGACACAAAUGUGGUUUACUGCUGUUGUGCCAAUCUGGUAGCCACUUGCCACACGUGGCUAGGGAAGAUUUGAAGUGUGACUAGUCCACACUGUACUGCAAAUUUAAACUACGUACUAGAUGUCAAACUCCUAGUAUGAAAAAAUAAUGCAAAGUAUUUGAGUAUAUUUUAUGUUGAUAUGUUAUAAUGAUAUGAUGUGUAGAUUAGAUUAAAUAACUAAUGCUAAAUUUUGGUUUUGUAACUUCUGUGAUGGGAAGGAGAUGAAGAGAUGGAGGGGGGUGGAGGAAAGGGGAUGAAUAAAGAAUUGAGAUGUGUUACAUUCAUGUACCAACUGUCCAUAAGGAUGUAAUUAUUGUAUACUAUGAACAUGUACUGAUAAAAAAAUAAA
rnacentral:lncRNA from 1 species